rnacentral:rRNA from 1 species
GGGAAACACAGGGAUUGCCCCAGUAACGGCGAGUGAAGCGGCAACAGCUCAAAUUUGAAAUCUGGCCCCCGGGUCCGAGUUGUAAUUUGUAGAGGAUGCUUUUGGUGAGGUACCUUCCGAGUUCCCUGGAACGGGACGCCAUAGAGGGUGAGAGCCCCGUCUGGUCGGAUACCGAUCCUCUGUAAAGCUCCUUCGACGAGUCGAGUAGUUUGGGAAUGCUGCUCUAAAUGGGAGGUAUAUGUCUUCUAAAGCUAAAUAUAGGCCAGAGACCGAUAGCGCACAAGUAGAGUGAUCGAAAGAUGAAAAGCACUUUGAAAAGAGGGUUAAACAGUACGUGAAAUUGUUGAAAGGGAAGCGCUUGUGACCAGACUUGGGCCCGGUUAAUCAUCCAGCGUUCUCGCUGGUGCACUUGGCCGGCCCAGGCCAGCAUCAGUUCGGCGUGGGGGAUAAAGGCGGCGGGAAUGUGGCUCCUCCGGGAGUGUUAUAGCCCACCGUGUAAUACCCUGUGCUGGACUGAGGUUCGCGCAUUCGCAAGGAUGCUGGCGUAAUGGUCAUUAGCGACCCGUCUUGAAACACGGACCAAGGAGUCGUCCUCGUAUGCGAGUGUUCGGGUGUUAAACCCCUACGCGUAAUGAAAGUGAACGCAGGUGAGAGCUUCGGCGCAUCAUCGACCGAUCCUGAUGUUCUCGGAUGGAUUUGAGUAAGAGCAUACGGGGCCGGACCCGAAAGAAGGUGAACUAUGCCUGUAUAGGGUGAAGCCAGAGGAAACUCUGGUGGAGGCUCGCAGCGGUUCUGACGUGCAAAUCGAUCGUCAAAUAUGGGCAUGGGGGCGAAAGACUAAUCGAACCUUCUAGUAGCUGGUUUCCGCCGAUUUCUCCUCUCGGAGAAAAAAUAAAAACUC